rnacentral:rRNA from 1 species
AGCAUAUCAAUAAGCGGAGGAAAAGAAACCAACAGGGAUUGCCCUAGUAACGGCGAGUGAAGCGGCAACAGCUCAAAUUUGAAAUCUGGCUCUUUUAGGGUCCGAGUUGUAAUUUGCAGAGGGCGCUUUGGCGUUGGCAGCGGUCCAAGUUCCUUGGAACAGGACGUCACAGAGGGUGAGAAUCCCGUACGUGGUCGCUGGUCUUCGCCGUGUAAAGCCCCUUCGACGAGUCGAGUUGUUUGGGAAUGCAGCUCUAAAUGGGAGGUAAAUUUCUUCUAAAGCUAAAUACUGGCCAGAGACCGAUAGCGCACAAGUAGAGUGAUCGAAAGAUGAAAAGCACUUUGGAAAGAGAGUCAAAUAGCACGUGAAAUUGUUGAAAGGGAAGCGCUUGCAGCCAGACUUGCCUGUAGUUGCUCAUCCGGGCUUUUGCCCGGUGCACUCUUCUAUAGGCAGGCCAGCAUCAGUUUGGGCGGUUGGAUAAAGGUCUCUAUCACGUACCUCUCUUCGGGGAGGCCUUAUAGGGGAGACGACAUGCAACCAGCCUGGACUGAGGUCCGCGCAUUGCUAGGAUGCUGGCGUAAUGGCUGUAAGCGGCCCGU